rnacentral:rRNA from 1 species
GAUGAACGCUGGCGGCGUGCCUAAUACAUGCAAGUCGAGCGAACAGACGAGGAGCUUGCUCCUCUGACGUUAGCGGCGGACGGGUGAGUAACACGUGGAUAACCUACCUAUAAGACUGGGAUAACUUCGGGAAACCGGAGCUAAUACCGGAUAAUAUAUUGAACCGCAUGGUUCAAUAGUGAAAGACGGUUUUGCUGUCACUUAUAGAUGGAUCCGCGCCGCAUUAGCUAGUUGGUAAGGUAACGGCUUACCAAGGCAACGAUGCGUAGCCGACCUGAGAGGGUGAUCGGCCACACUGGAACUGAGACACGGUCCAGACUCCUACGGGAGGCAGCAGUAGGGAAUCUUCCGCAAUGGGCGAGAGCCUGACGGAGCAACGCCGCGUGAGUGAUGAAGGUCUUCGGAUCGUAAAACUCUGUUAUGAGGGAAGAACAAAUGUGUAAGUAACUAUGCACGUCUUGACGGUACCUAAUCAGAAAGCCACGGCUAACUACGUG